GCAGGUGAAUUAUGGGAGUUGUAGUGAGGGCUGAUUGAUAGUGGGUGCAGGUGAAUUAUGGGAGUUGUAGUGAGAGCUGAUUGAUAGUGGGUGCAGGUGAAUUAUGGGAGUUGUAGUGAGGGCUGAUUGAUAGUGGGUGCAGGUGAAUUAUGGGAGUUGUAGUGAGAGCUGAUUGAUAGUGGGUGCAGGUGAAUUAUGGGAGUUGUAGUGAGAGCUGAUUGAUAGUGGGUGCAGGUGAAUUAUGGGAGUUGUAGUGAGAGCUGAUUGAUAGUGGGUGCAGGUGAAUUAUGGGAGUUGUAGUGAG